GAUGAACGCUGGCGGCGUGCCUAAUACAUGCAAGUCGAGCGAACAGACGUGGAGCUUGCUCCUCUGACGUUAGCGACGGAUGGGUGAGAAACACGUGGAUAGCCUACCUAUAAGACUGGGAUAACUUCGGGAAACCGGAGCUAAUACCGGGUAAUAUAUUGAACCGCAUGGUUCAAUAGUGAAUGACGGUUUUGCUGUCACUUAUAGAUGGAUCCGCGCCGCAUUAGCUAGUUGGUAAGGUAACGGCUUACCAAGGCAACGAUGCGUAGCCGACCUGAGAGGGUGAUCGGCCACACUGGAACUGAGACACGGCCCAGACUCCUACGGGAGGCAGCAGUAGGGAAUCUUCCGCAAUGGGCGAAAGCCUGACGGAGCAACGCCGCGUGAGUGAUGAAGGUCUUCGGGUCGUAAAACUCUGUUAUUAGGGAAGAACAAGUGUGUAAGUAACUAUGCACGUCUUGACGGUACCUAAUCAGAAAGCCACGGCUAACUACGUG
rnacentral:rRNA from 1 species